rnacentral:rRNA from 1 species
GUGCAGCAGGCAAGAAUGGCAACAUUUUCGCAAAGCAAGUGGCGAACGGGUGAGUAACGCGUGGGUAAUCUACCUUAGAGAUUGGGAUAACCUUCCGAAAGGGGGGCUAAUACCAAAUAUCUUAUAUUCUUCACAUGAAGAAUAUAAGAAAGGUAGCCGUAAGGCUUCCGCUCUGAGAUGAGCCCCGCGUCCUAAUUAGCUAGUUGGUAAGGUAAUGGCUUACCAAGGCUAUGAUGGGUAGCCGGCCUGAGAGGGUGACCGGCACACUGGGACUGAGACACGGCCCAGACUCCUAC